AGUCCAUGAUGUGGGGACUUCCGUAAAAAAUCGUACAAACGCUCCCACGCUUCAUGUAGAGGUUCACCCUCUUCUUGGGAAAACUCAAUAAUCAAUUGUCUCAUGGAGU